rnacentral:rRNA from 1 species
AACCCAGACCGCCAGCUAAGGUCCCAAAUUACUACUAAGUGGGAAACGAUGUGGGAAGGCUCAGACAGCCAGGAUGUUGGCUUAGAAGCAGCCAUCAUUUAAAGAAAGCGUAAUAGCUCACUGGUCGAGUCGGCCUGCGCGGAAGAUGUAACGGGGCUAAGUAGUAAACCGAAGCUGCGGCAAUGUGCUUUUGCACAUUGGGUAGGGGAGCGUUCUGUAAGCGGUUGAAGGUGUGUGGUAACGCAUGCUGGACGUAUCAGAAGUGCGAAUGCUGACAUGAGUAACGAUAAAGGGGGUGAAAAACCUCCUCGCCGGAAGACCAAGGGUUCCUGUCCAACGUUAAUCGGGGCAGGGUAAGUCGACCCCUAAGGCGAGGCCGAAAGGCGUAGUCGAUGGGAAACGGGUUAAUAUUCCCGUACUUCUUACAAUUGCGAUGGGGGGACGGAGAAGGCUAGGUGGGCCUGGCGACGGUUGUCCAGGUUCAAGUGCGUAGGCUU